UACGUAGGGUGCGAGCGUUGUCCGGAAUUAUUGGGCGUAAAGCGCACGUAGGCGGUUUGUUAAGUCGGAUGUGAAAUCCCUCGGCUCAACUGAGGAAGUGCAUCCGAAACUGGCAGGCUUGAGUACUAAAGAGGGUCGCGGAAUUCCCGGUGUAGAGGUGAAAUUCGUAGAUAUCGGGGAGGAACACCAGUGGCGAAGGCGGCUUUCUGGA
rnacentral:rRNA from 1 species